UGAGGAAUUUUCCGCAGUGGGCGAAAGCCUGACGGAGCAAUGCCGCGUGGAGGAUGACAGCCUGUGGGUCGUAAACUCCUUUUCUCAGAGAAGAAGUUCUGACGGUAUCUGAGGAAUAAGCAUCGGCUAACUCCGUGCCAGCAGCCGCGGUAAGACGGGGGAUGCAAGCGUUAUCCGGAAUGAUUGGGCGUAAAGCGUCUGUAGGUGGUUUAUUAAGUCUAGUGUUAAAGAUCAGGGCUUAACCCUGAGUCGGCAGUAGAAACUGAUGAGCUUGAGUACGGUAGGGGCAGAGGGAAUUCCCGGUGUAGCGGUGAAAUGCGUAGAGAUCGGGAAGAACACCAAUGGCGAAAGCACUCUGCUGGGCCGAAACUGACACUCAGAGACGAAAGCUAGGGGAGCAAACA
rnacentral:rRNA from 1 species